UACGAAGGGGGCUAGCGUUGCUCGGAAUCACUGGGCUUAAAGGGCGCGUAGGCGGGUGCUCAAGUCUGUGGUGAAAUCCUCCGGCUCAACCGGAGAACUGCCAUGGAUACUGGGCGUCUCGAGUGUGGUAGGGGUAUGCGGAACUAUCGGUGGAGCGGUGAAAUGCGUUGAUAUCGAUAGGAACUCCGGUGGCGAAGGCGGAUCUCUGGGCCUUACCUGACGCUCAGGCGCGAAAGCUAGGGGAGCGAACAGG
rnacentral:rRNA from 1 species